rnacentral:tRNA from 1 species
GGCAGUGUGGUCCAAUAGGUGGGACAUUGAACUAGGAGUUAGGAGACCUGAGUUUAAUUCUCAGCUCUGCCA